rnacentral:ribozyme from 13 species
UUUUUUUGUAGAAUUUAAAUUUUUUUAUUUUUUUUUUUUGUUCUGUCAUUUAUCUCUGUGGUAAGUUUAAAAGAAGGUUACCACCCUUGGAGGGCAAGUAAACAACA